CAGUAGCCGCGGUAAUACGAAGGGUGCAAGCGUUAAUCGGAAUUACUGGGCGUAAAGCGCGCGUAGGUGGUUUGGUAAGAUGGAUGUGAAAUCCCCGGGCUCAACCUGGGAACUGCAUCCAUAACUGCCUGACUAGAGUACGGUAGAGGGUGGUGGAAUUUCCUGUGUAGCGGUGAAAUGCGUAGAUAUAGGAAGGAACACCAGUGGCGAAGGCGACCACCUGGACUGAUACUGACACUGAGGUGCGAAAGCGUGGGGAGCAAACAGGAUUAGAUACCCCCGUAGUCCCUGUCUCUUAUAU
rnacentral:rRNA from 1 species